rnacentral:rRNA from 1 species
CAGUAGCCGCGGGAAUACGAGGGGGGCAAGCGUUGUUCGGAAUUAUUGGGCGUAAAGGGUGCGUAGGCGGUUUGAUAAGUCUUGUGUGAAAUCUCUGGGCUCAACCCAGAGUCUGCACAGGAAACUGUCGGGCUUGAGAGUGGGAGAGGUGAGUGGAAUUUCCGGUGUAGCGGUGAAAUGCGUAGAUAUCGGAAGGAACACCUGUGGCGAAAGCGGCUCACUGGACCAUUUCUGACGCUGAUGCACGAAAGCUAGGGGAGCAAACAGGAUUAGAUACCCCCGUAGUCCCUGUCUCUUAUAC